rnacentral:rRNA from 1 species
GUGCCAGCCGCCGCGGUAAUACGAAGGGUGCAAGCGUUACUCGGAAUUACUGGGCGUAAAGCGUGCGUAGGUGGUUCGUUAAGUCUGCCGUGAAAGCCCCGGGCUCAACCUGGGAAUGGCGGUGGAUACUGGCGGACUAGAGUGCGGUAGAGGGUGGUGGAAUUCCCGGUGUAGCAGUGAAAUGCGUAGAGAUCGGGAGGAACAUCUGUGGCGAAGGCGGCCACCUGGACCAGCACUGACACUGAGGCACGAAAGCGUGGGGAGCAAACAGGAUUAGAUACCCCCGUAGUCC